CGUUCCCGGACCUUGUACACACCGCCCGUCAAGCGAUGGAAGCUGGGAGGACCUGAAGACAGUUGCUGUAAGGCGCUGUUUAGGGUAAAACCGGUGACUGGCGGCU
rnacentral:rRNA from 1 species